AGAUCAAGAGUAGGCAAAGGGCUUUGAAAAGCAAAUGGAAUGACUUUAUGGAUACAUAGCCAAAGGGAAGAGCUAUAAGCAUUUUUAAAGGUAUUCCCUUACUGCUGGAUAUUUAAAUUGCUCCUAAUUUCUCAUCGGCAUAAAUAAUGCUCUGACUUCAUUACCUAUGUUCCCAAAUUACAAAUCUAUCUUCUGGUGAUUUCUAGCUCAACCCUUCUAGAUUCUGGCUGGCAUCUGAAUCCAGAAUUUGCUAUCACGGCAAAAAGAGUGAAGCAGGGUUCUGAUGCAGGGUCCUUCUCAGGAACAAAGCCUAUAGUGAAUGUCAAUGCUCUUGUCCUCGCACUCGCUAGCCAGUUUUCAAAACUCAGAUCAUCCCAGCAUUAUUUAUGUCUACAUCCUGAUGUAACAGUUUGAAAAUCAGGCUCCUACAAAUUUUGCUUCUACUCGCACAACAAUUUCUAUGGGAACUGGAAUCCAUAAAAGUGAAAUUAAUUUUAUGUUUAUGUGUACUGUACAGUUAAGAUUAUGGGCGAGUCAUUCAUAAUUCAUAUGUCAGGAGGCUCACCCUAUACUUCAAUAUAUCUCAGAGGGUAUGAGAAUGUUUAACACGCUUGGCCAUAAAUAACUAACUUUGGAAGUAAUGAAUUUCCUGUUUCAACUUUAAAUUUUACUCAGAACUAACAACGCAUAUUUUUAUAUGGCUCAGAAGACUUGCAUCACUUUCUGGGAUACAGAAGACUACAAAUACAAGACUGCUUAUUUGGAAGAUAGAAGUUUCUAAUGCCAACAAGUUGACCUAAUUACUUUUGAUAUUUUGCUCAUUUCUGGUGUCAAGUCUCUAGUUAGAAAAGCAUUAUAGAACACCUUAAAAGCUGGACAAAUCAGGAUGAGCCCACUAGGAAUUAUUCUAGAAUUUUUUUCCAGUGUAAUAUUCUCUACUUCACCUGAUUUGCCUUUAAGAGGGAAAAAAAAAAAGAAAAUAUGAGCAAUUAUAGUCACGAUAAAAACUUCUAUCAAAAUAAAAGAAGCCAGGCACCCAGUUACCCCAUGACAGGCAUUGAGGAGGGCACUUGAUAGAAUGUUAUAUUCAACUGAUGACUCACUACA